AAAGAAAAUCAAGUUGGCCCCCUUUCAGACGUUGUCAGUGAAAAUGUAGAAUGAAAAUUAAACGUGGUUGUAAUGCAUGUCGUUUGUUCUUUCUGGGGAGAAACAUAUGGAGCCCUGACAAUGACAAAAAAAGAGCUCUUAAAACCCAGUUCUCUGUUUAGUAAAGUGUAGGUGUGGAUCAGCAAUACCAUCAGUGUCCAUGUGCAGCAGUGUGGAGCUGAGUGGGUAGAUUUACACUUAUGAAAGUAAACUAAACACCAGCAGUGAUGGGAAGUUACAAAAUCUUCCUAAACCUUUUAAUCUAAAUAUUAUUGUCAAAAUCAAAUCAGAGGUUUUUUGUAUCGGACAUUUAUGUGAUGCUGAAUCCAGCGGGUAAACCAGAAACAUCCACACUUGUAUAGACCAGUUCAUUGUUAUUGUUUUGAUCCGGGUUUUUCGCACAUGCGCGCCGGACUGGUUGGCAAAAGACGAACACAAUGGCGGAUGCAUUUCUUUGUGACAGUUACUUUUGUCUUUACUUUUUCAGCUUGCAGCUUGAAUUCUUUCUUGAGCCUGAAGAAAGAAUUUAGAGACAACUUGCUAAACUGCAGGAAGGGAUUUUUCUACAUCUGUCAUAGCGUUCUAGAUAGGCAUCAGGGCAACCCACCCACCUCCCACACCUGCAAGGAGGAGCAGGUGUACUGUAUACAUGGAUAGAUGGAUGUUUUUAUAUCAACACCUACCACCUGGAGGGCUCCAUAGAAACUUCUCUCCAGAUUUCCAAACAUAAAGGCUUUUAUAUUAUUAUUUUCUUUCUUUUUCUUUUUUUUUUUCACAACUGAUAACGAUGCAUAAAAUGUCCAUUCAUAGUUCCAUUCAAAAGUGGAAAAGAACAAUCAGAAGUUUGUAAAAAAAAAAAAAAAUGCACAUAGUGAUUGCCACUUCAAAUGUUUCUUCACUCUAUAAAUAAAAAAUAUUUUAUUCUGGUGACAUUUGGUCAGCAUGUAUGUAAACAAAUACCAAAUACUUGUGUAGGAAUGUUCACAACCUCUGUGUUAAUGUUUAAAAAAUUAUCUAACUUUUUAAAAUAAAAAAUGAAAUUAUAGUUUCUGUAAGGCAUUUUGACCAGGUUGCACUUGGCUGCAACAAGAUGGGGUGGGGGGUUAAAAAGAGGGGAGAAAGAAUGAAAGAAAUUAAACUUAAUAGUGAAUACAUCUUCAUUUCAAUCAGAAUAUGAAUGUUGUUGGAAACUUGCCAAUUGGUGUCAAAACAUGUGAUGAAUAACAUGCAAAGUUGCAUUGCAUGACAAUUGAGUCUUUGCUGUUUUUUGAUUACAUAAAUUGUGAAGAGGAGAUGCUCUGCCAAGAGCCAAUUAAACCCGAUUAACUUAACUCUCUGAAAUAUAAAACUGUUACCAAAAAAAA